CUCGUAAGAUCACCUAAGUUAAGCAACGUCAAGCCAUGUCAGUACCUGGAUGGGUGACUUCUUGGGAAUACCAGGUACUGUAAU